rnacentral:misc_RNA from 1 species
CCAUCCCCUCAAGCUCUGCUUGGCUUGUUGGGCCGGCGUCCUCCCACGACAGGAGGACGGGCCCGAAAGGCAGUGGCGGCACCCGGGGACUUGGUCCUUCGGGCGGUGAUGCAUGGGUCUCUUCAUCCACCGUCCGGCUGGCCAUGCCCCGGGAGCCUGUCGAACGAUCGGUCUUCCCCUUUA